AAGAUGGCGACCGGCGCACGGGUGAGUAACACGUAUCCAACCUGCCGAUAACUCUGGAAUAGCCUUUCGAAAGAAAGAUUAAUACCGGAUAGUAUACGAAUAUCGCAUGAUAUUUUUAUUAAAGAAUUUCGGUUAUCGAUGGGGAUGCGUUCCAUUAGGUUGUUGGCGGGGUAACGGCCCACCAAGCCUUCGAUGGAUAGGGGUUCUGAGAGGAAGGUCCCCCCACAUUGGAACUGAGACACGGUCCAAACUCCUACGGGAGGCAGCAUG
rnacentral:rRNA from 1 species